UACGUAGGGGGCAAGCGUUGUCCGGAUUUACUGGGCGUAAAGAGCGUGUAGGCGGCCACGCAGGUCCGUUGUGAAAACUGGAGGCUCAACCUCCAGCUGUCGACGGAAACCGUGUGGCUAGAGUCCGGAAGAGGAGAGUGGAGUUCCUGGUGUAGCGGUGAAAUGCGCAGAUAUCAGGAAGAACACCAAUGGCGAAGGCAGCUCUCUGGGACGGUACUGACGCUGAGACGCGAAAGCGUGGGGAGCGAACAGG
rnacentral:rRNA from 1 species